UCCAUCUGGAAAUCUGGGAAUCAGUCUGGGAAUCAGUCUGGGAAUCUGGGAAUCCAUCUGGGAAUCUGGGAAUGAGUCUGGGAAUGAGUCUGGGAAUGGGUCUGGGAAUCCAUCUGGGAAUCCAUUUGGGAAUGAGUCUGGGAAUCUGGGAAUGAGUCUGGGACUCUGGGAAUCCAUCUGGGAAUCUGGGAAUUGUCUGGGAAUCUGGGAAUGAGUCUGGGAAUCCAUCUGGGAAUCCAUCUGGGAAUGAGUCUGGGAAUCUGGGAAUCUGUCUGGGAAUCCAAUUGGUAAUCCGGGAAUCAGUCAGGGAAUCCAUCUGGGAAUCCAUCUAGGAAUCCCCCUGGGAAUCUGGGAAUCCCCCUGGGAAUCUGGGAAUCCAUCUGGGAAUCUGGGAAUCCCCCUGGGAAUCCCCCUGGGAAUGAGUCUGGUCAGGGAUGGUCCCCUGGCGGUGCCGAGGACAUCACGCGCGGCCCUCAGCGUUUAUUCCAAACACCGGCUCCGGGGAGAGGCACCAACCAUCGGAUCCCGCGGAUCCGGCACGGAACGAGAGGCAAAUCCAGCGGGAAAAGCCUCCCUGGGAGAACGUUCCAGAAUGUUCUGGAAAGCCGCGGGGCUCGGCCCUGGUGAGCCCUGGAGGGGCGAAGCAGCGGCCGGAGCAAUCGCUGUGCCCGGCAGUCCCUGAGGUAGGAUGGGGAGCGGCUCCGGAAGAUCCCAGGAAUCUCCUGGGAAGAUCUCGGGAAUCGCUGGGAAUAUCCUGGGAAUCUCCCGGGAAUUUCUCGGGAAUCUCCUGAGAAUCUCUUGGGAAUCUCUCGGGAAUCUCCUGGGAAGAUCUCAGGAAUCUCUUGGGAAUCUCCUGGGAAUCUCCUGGGAAGCUCCUGGGAAUAUCCCGGGAAUCUCCUGGGAAUCUCUCGGGAAUAUCCUGGGAAUCUCCCAGGAAGAUCUCGGGAAUCCCUGGGAAUCUCUUGGGAAUCUCCUGGGAAUCUCCAGGGAAGCUCUUGGGAAUCUC
ensembl:lncRNA